UACGAAGGGGGCUAGCGUUGUUCGGAAUUACUGGGCGUAAAGCGCACGUAGGCGGAUUGUUUAGUGAGGGGUGAAAUCCCAGGGCUCAACCCUGGAACUGCCUCUCAUACUGGCAAUCUCGAGUUCGAGAGAGGUGAGUGGAAUUCCGAGUGUAGAGGUGAAAUUCGUAGAUAUUCGGAGGAACACCAGUGGCGAAGGCGGCUCACUGGCUCGAUACUGACGCUGAGGCGCGAGAGCGUGGGGAGCAAACCGG
rnacentral:rRNA from 1 species